ACCUGGCUGGCUCAGUAGGUAGAGCUUGUGACUCUCGAUCUUGGGGUUGUAUGUUUGAGCCACACGUUGGGUG
rnacentral:tRNA from 1 species